rnacentral:misc_RNA from 1 species
UCCGGUUUGUCACCGGCAGUCUCAUUAGAGUGCCCAACUGAAUGUAGCAACUAAUGACAAGGGUUGCGCUCGUUGCGGGACUUAACCCAACAUCUCACGACACGAGCUGACGACAGCCAUGCAGCACCUGUGUGUCGGCUCCCUUUCGGGCACGCCUCCGUCUCGAGAGGCUUCCGACCAUGUCAAGGGUAGGUAAGGUUUUUCGCGUUGCAUCGAAUUAAUCCACAUCAUCCACCGCUUGUGCGGGUCCCCGUCAAUUCCUUUGAGUUUUAACCUUGCGGCCGUACUCCCCAGGCGGUGGAGCACGUGGUUUAAUUCGAAGCAACGCGAAGAACCUUACCUGGGCUUGACAUGCACGGGAAAGCCGGUGGAAACAUCGGCCCCUCUUCGGAGUCCGUGU